CAUCAACUUUUUUUUUUGUUGACACCCCUUUAACCUCUUUUUUUGAACUUUUAUAUUAUUUCAUUAUUAAUUUUAAUAAAUUUAAUAAAUUUCUCUUUCCCUUAUUCCCUCCAUUAAUUUUUUUAUUAUAUCAGUGAUAAAAUUAAAACCAUUAGAGUACUAAAGUAAAAAUUCGGUAAACCACGGGAUACUAAAGUAAAUAUUCAAUAAAUCAUAGGUGGGAUAUCUAAAUUUUUUUUGUAUAUAAUUUAACGAAGAGUUAAGGGAGGUGCUGUUGGAAAGAGAAAAAUAAAGUCAUAAGGUACUAAAGUGAUACUUUUUAAACUAUAUGAUAUUAAAGUAAAAUAGUGCGAAACCAUAAGAUUAGUAUUUGAAGUUUGCCCUAAAUUAUAUAUAAUUAUUGUUAUAUGUACGGUUAGAAUGAUAGUGAUUUUCUAAAAAGGCUGAAUGGAUAAUUUGUUGAAUUAUAUGAUCUAACAGAUAGAAAUAUUUAAAAAGCUAAAUUUAACGAUAGAAAAUUUGAUAGCACUAAAUGCUCCAUGCUGUUAGAAGUAUUUAUCGUGUGCACCGUAUGGAAAGAAAGAUCUCACCCCAAUCAUCCAUCCUUGUAAUCUCUUCCG
rnacentral:lncRNA from 1 species